rnacentral:tRNA from 2 species
GCAGAAGUACCCAAGUGGCCGAAGGGGCUCCCCUGCUAAGGGAGUAGGCGGCUUAAAAACCCGCGCGAGGGUUCGACUCCCUCCUUCUGCGCCA